rnacentral:piRNA from 1 species
UUUGGUGGUGGUGUUAUCAGUCUGAGU